rnacentral:lncRNA from 10 species
AAUAAGAUAAUACAGGCCAGGUGCGGUGGCUCAUGCCUGUAAUCCCAGCACUUUGGGAGGCUGAGGCAGGCAGAUCAUGAGGUCAGGAGUUCGAGACCAGCCUGACCAACAUGGUGAAACUCCAUCUCUACUAAAAAUACAAAAAUUAGCCAGGCGUGGUGGCGGGUGCCUGUAAUCCCAGCUACUCAGGAGGCUGAGGUGGGACAAUCGCUUGAACCUGGUAGGCGGAGGUUGCAGUGAGCCGAGAUCGUGUGCAGCUCAUUCAGAUUCUGGGGCCUCCUCACCUGGGACACAGAACCUCCGCUGCCUAAGCUGCGGCUGGAGCUGGAGCCCGACCUGGAGCUGGAGCUGAAGCUGGAGCUGGAGUCAACACCUGGGAAAGAGCUGAAGCCGGGGCUGGGAAUUGGAGGUCCCACAUCCCCCAAAUCCCCUGCAGCUUGGCCAAGGAAGAAGAAAAGGGAGUGAUUUCCAAGCAAGAGAAAUUGUACAAGUUAAAGAACAUAGGCAACUCAAAUUCUCUCCAGGGUCAUGAUUAUGCCCUUGUACCUACAAUCUCAUGUAGCCCACUCUAGCAACUCAUACUUGGAUUCGAGUUCUUAAGGAAAACAAUCAGAACAUAAUGAAAUGAAUUUUGAAACGGCUAUUUAAAUGGAACAAAAUUUAAUGAAUCAUUAAAUGAAGCAAUGGCCAAACAUGCACAGGAAAUUUAUGCAAAUAAAUUUCAUAAAACUACCAAAUAACUCAACCUGAUCUAUGAUCAUUUAAACACAAUUGAAACUGGCUCUUGCUUUGUCCAUCCUGGUCCUUCCUUAGUGCUUCUUUCUUCACCCAGCUAUGACUUAUCGGUAUGAGUUGGCCCCUGUGGGGCACAGAGCAAAAUAAAAAUGUGGGGCCUUUGUUCAAAAAUGAUUAAGAAUGUUAAAACAGUGACAGUGAAGCAUUAAACCAAGUGUGAGACCCUUCUAAAGGGUGAGGCCACUCACAGGUGGCACAUCCAUGAAGCCAGCCCUAACUACAGCAAGGGGGAUCUAA